CCUACGGGUGGCAGCAGUAGGGAAUCUUCCACAAUGGACGAAAGUCUGAUGGAGCAACGCCGCGUGUGUGAUGAAGGGUUUCGGCUCGUAAAACACUGUUGUAAGAGAAGAAUGACAUCGAGAGUAACUGUUCCGUGUGUGACGGUAUCUUACCAGAAAGGAACGGCUAAAUACGUGCCAGCAGCCGCGGCAAUCCGUAUGUUCCAAGCGUUAUCCGGAUUUAUUAGGCGUAAAGCGAGCGACGACGGUUAUUUAAGUCCGAAAUGAAAGCCCACAGCUUAACUGUGUAAGUGCUUUGGAAACUGGAUAACUUGAGUGCAGUAGAGGAGAGUGGAACUCCAUGUGUAGCGGUGAAAUGCGUAGAUAUAUGGAAGAACACCAGUGGCGAAGGCGGCUCGCUGGACUGUAACUGACGUUGAGGCUCGAAAUUGUGGGAAGCGAACAGGAUUAGAUACCCGAGUAGUC
rnacentral:rRNA from 1 species